rnacentral:rRNA from 1 species
GUAGGCUGCAACUCGCCUACAUGAAGUCGGAAUUGCUAGUAAUCGCGGAUCAGCAUGCCGCGGUGAAUACGUUCCCGGGCCUUGUACACACCGCCCGUCACACCAUGGGAGUCGGUAACACCCGAAGCCUGUAGUCUAACCGCAAGGGGGACGCAGUCGAAGGUGGGAUUGAUGACUGGGGUGAAGUCGUAACAAGGUAUC